UACGAAGGGGGCUAGCGUUGCUCGGAAUCACUGGGCGUAAAGGGCGCGUAGGCGGCCAUUCAAGUCAGGGGUGAAAGCCUGUGGCUCAACCACAGAAUUGCCUUUGAUACUGUUUGGCUAGAGACCGGAAGAGGUAAGUGGAACUGCGAGUGUAGAGGUGAAAUUCGUAGAUAUUCGCAAGAACACCAGUGGUGAAGGCGGCUUACUGGUCCGGUUCUGACGCUGAGGCGCGAAAGCGUGGGGAGCAAACAGG
rnacentral:rRNA from 1 species